rnacentral:misc_RNA from 1 species
UCUAAGGAGAACUGUUUAAAGCUUCGGCUUUAAACGACAAUCCUAAUGGUCGAUUCUUUUAAAGGACGAAAGUCUGGCGAGAGAUCAUUAGAGUCGAAAGACUCAAGCCGAGGGAUCGGCAACUCAUUGGAAUAGCUGUUGUUUAGUUUUGAGAGACCAGGAACAAUCGAAGCAAUUUGAUUAAGAAUGGAACCUCACUCACAAAGGAUUGAGGGAAGGCAGAAAUGCUUGACUAGCAAUCCUAUAUUUUUGAUUGGUUAGACGUUCUUAGGAACUAAGGCCAGACAUGUUCUUUGAAAACUGCAUAGAGAAAUAAAUCUAGUAAAAGUCGAAAGAAUUCACUUCGAAACGCAAGUUUCGAAUAAACCUAGAAGUAGCGACGA